rnacentral:rRNA from 1 species
GAUGAACGCUAGCGGCAGGCUUAAUACAUGCAAGUCGAACGGGAAUUGGGUAGCAAUACCUGAUGAUAGUGGCGCACGGGUGCGUAACGCGUAUGCAACCUACCUUUAACAGGGGGAUAGCCCGGAGAAAUUCGGAUUAAUACCCCAUAGUAUUAUGGAGAGGCAUCUUUUCAUGAUUAAAGUUCCGGCGGUUAAAGAUGGGCAUGCGUGCCAUUAGCUAGUUGGUGAGGUAACGGCUCACCAAGGCGACGAUGGUUAGGGGUCCUGAGAGGGUUAUCCCCCACACUGGUACUGAGACACGGACCAGACUCCUACGGGAGGCAGCAGUAAGGAAUAUUGGUCAAUGGGCGGAAGCCUGAACCAGCCAUGCCGCGUGCAGGAAGACGGCCUUAUGGGUUGUAAACUGCUUUUGUCAGGGAAUAAACCCUCGUUUGCGAACGAGGCUGAAGGUACCUGAAGAAUAAGCAUCGGCUAACUCCGUGCCAGCGGCCGCGGUAAACUGUAGUCGU